UGGACCACUCCUGGCUGAGGGUCGUUUCAAUAUACACGACUGUCCGGAUUGUCCGAAAUUCCAUCGGCAAUCGUCGGGACGUAAUGAAGGUUCGUAAAUCGUCUUUCUAAAUACGCCAUUUGUGCCCGUUUGCGGGAAUCACACAUUCGGCUCCCAUUCGUCAGACGGAAUAUCCACUGUGAAUAUUGACGUAACGUUUGCACGCAUGAUAUUGCCUCAUGUAGUGCUCGCUGCAUUCGUCCACAUAUACGUUGGUUCCAGUCCGUCGCGUCUAUGACUUGUCAUGACGACGGAAUGCCUGGUUCUAGUACGGCGGUGGUAUGACUUGCUUAGCUUGAGCACAUGUGCACGUUUCUGACACAAACACGACACGCGAUAUUUCUGUCACGCAAAUGACGUGGGAAUGAGAAUUUCUCAAUACGCGACCUCAGAGCAGGUGAGACUACCCGCCGAAUUUAAGCAUAUUAAUAAGCGGAGGAAAAGAAACUAACUAGGAUUCCCUUAGUAACGGCGAGCGAACAGGGAAAAGCCCAGCACUGAAUCGCGCGGACCACAGGGACGCAGCGAAAUGUAGUGUUUGGGAGGGUCCGCUAUUCCGUGAUUUGUCAAUGCGUCCAAGUCCUUCUUGAACGGGGCCACUUACCCAUAGAGGGUGCCAGGCCCGUAGUGACCGUUGACGAUUGCGGAAGGAUCUCUCCUUAGAGUCGGGUUGCUUGAGAGUGCAGCCCUAAGUGGGUGGUAAACUCCAUCUAAGGCUAAAUAUAACCACGAGACCGAUAGCGAACAAGUACCGUGAGGGAAAGUUGAAAAGAACUUUGAAGAGAGAGUUCAAUAGUACGUGAAACCGUUUAGGGGUAAACCUGAGAAACCCGAAAGUUCGACCGAGGAGAUUCAGUGGCUCUCGGUGUGUGCGAGUGCCGUUCGUAGACGGUUGUCGUUCGCGGCAAUCGCUUCUUACGUGCGCCGCUGCAUGCCGAACUCAUGCACUUCUCCUCUAGUAGGACGUCACGACCCGUUGGGUGUCGGUCUGAGGCCCGCAGUGGAGCCCGUGCAUCGGUUUCGAUCGUUGUUCGGACCUGUGGUGACCCGGCCGACUGCUCGACGGUAUGAUUAAGGCGCAGAGCCGCGACUUGUUCGCGUUCGGCCCAAUGCAAGCAUGGACGGUUACUCGAACAUCGGACUUGUGCCGAUCUUGAGGCCGGUCAGUUGUUGGUGUUGGUGCUCCCGAACAGAUUCUGUACUCGCCUGUCGGUGACGCUAUAGCUUUGGGUACUUUCAGGACCCGUCUUGAAACACGGACCAAGGAGUCUAGCAUGUGCGCAAGUCAAUGGGACUAUCGAAUCCUAAAGGCGUAAUGAAAGUGAAAGCAGAGCCUGGCUCAGCUUAGGGAAGAUGAGUGACUUUGGUCGCUUCGCACUCCCGGGGCGUCUCGUUCUCAUUGCGAGAAGAGGCGCACCUAGAGCGUAAAUGCUGGAACCCGAAAGAUGGUGAACUAUGCCUGGUCAGGACGAAGUCAGGGGAAACCCUGAUGGAGGUCCGUAGCGAUUCUGACGUGCAAAUCGAUCGUAGGAACUUGGUAUAGCGGCGAAAGACCAAUCG
rnacentral:rRNA from 1 species